rnacentral:rRNA from 1 species
GAUGAACGCUGGCGGCGUGCCUAAUACGUGCAAGUCGAGCGAACAGAUAAGGAGCUUGCUCCUUUGACGUUAGCGGCGGACGGGUGAGUAACACGUGGGUAACCUACCUAUAAGACUGGAAUAACUCCGGGAAACCGGGGCUAAUGCCGGAUAACAUUUAGAACCGCAUGGUUCUAAAGUGAAAGAUGGUUUUGCUAUCACUUAUAGAUGGACCUGCGCCGUAUUAGCUAGUUGGUAAGGUAACGGCUUACCAAGGCAACGAUACGUAGCCGACCUGAGAGGGUGAUCGGCCACACUGGAACUGAGACACGGUCCAGACUCCUACGGGAGGCAGCAGUAGGGAAUCUUCCGCAAUGGGCGAAAGCCUGACGGAGCAACGCCGCGUGAGUGAUGAAGGUCUUCGGAUCGUAAAACUCUGUUAUUAGGGAAGAACAAAUGUGUAAGUAACUGUGCACGUCUUGACGGUACCUAAUCAGAAAGCCACGGCUAACUACGUG